AUUGAACGCUGGCGGCAGGCCUAAAACAUGCAAGUCGAACGAGUGGCGGACGGGUGAGUAAUGUCUGGGAAAAUGCCUGAUGGAGGGGGCUAACUACUGGAAACGGUAGCUAAUACCGCAUAACAUUGGAUGUGCCCAGAUGGGAUUAGCUAGUAGGUGGGGUAACGGCUCACCUAGGCGACGAUCCCUAGCUGGUCUGAGAGGAUGACCAGCACCACAGGAACUGAGACACGGUCCAGACUCCUACGGGAGGCAGCAGUGGGGAAUAUUGCACGAUGGGCGCAAGCCUGAUGCAGCCAUGCCGCGUGUAUGAAGAAGGCCUUCGGGUUGUAAAGCACUGUCAGCGGGGAGGCGUUACCCGCAGAGGAAGCACCGGCUAACUCCGUGCCAGCAGCCGCGGUAAUAC
rnacentral:rRNA from 1 species